CAUGUAAAUAAGUACAUUAAUAAAUAUCCAAUAAAAUAGUAAUACAAUUAAAAAAGAGUCAAUUUGUAUAUGGUAUUGUUCUGCAGAUUUGGAGCAUGGUCCAGGGGGAAAUUAUACCUUAAUAUAUAUGCAGCAUCCCUGAACUAGCACACUCUCUCCCUUUCUUUGCCUUUCUUUGUUCCCUUUAGGGACCCAAAACAGUGGGAUGGAGGUGCCCAUAGUCUUCUCUCCCUUAAAUAAUAAAUACCUUCACUGACAUACCUUGACAGGUGAUUUAACAAUUUCAUAGGCAUCUCUCCAUUCCAUCAAAUUAGGCGAUCUAGCUAAACCAUCAUACCCAGUAGUCCCUUGAAUUCUACCAGCAAGAGAACCAUCAUAAAAUGCAGACUUUAGACUUGUAAUUCAGGUCCAUGAGCCCAAAGCAGAUUAAUUUUCCUUAUAAAGUUGCCUAGUCUUUGGUCUAUCAGUGGGAGUGGCCUGAGGUAAUAGUGCUGUGGAAGUUCCAAUAUUCAGACAUCAAGACUUCAUAAGACGGAAGAGGAGGGCCUUUGAAUCAGAAAAAGAAGACUGUGUCUUGGCUGGAUGUGGAGAUGAAGACAGAGUGAGAUAGCUGCUGGCUGUGAGGAGAGCUGGGAUGCAGAGACUGGCUAAAGUAGACCGAAACCACUGUGCUCACAGUAACUGCAGAUCAAAUAGACGCAGACCACAGCAUGCCCCUUCAUAGUUCUAUAAAAGCUCCUGCAGACCCGCAGUGUCUUUUGUGAGCUGCACCUCAGAGGUGAUUUCCCUCUUAGAACAGGGUGAGUAAUGUUUCUCUAUUUUAUCUACUAUGGCUUUAGCGGGUUGGGUUUGCAACAGUGUGAGUAACGUUUCUCUCUCUAUUAUCUGGUUCUGCUUUAGCAGGUGGUGCUGUAAUUCAGGAUGUGGACCUUACCCUCCGAUACUCAUGUCUUCCACAGGGUAAAAAAGGCUGCCUAGAGCUUGGGAGCUCUGUUUCUACCCAAAAACCCCUGGCCCAAACUAGUGAGUCUGGGUCCUGAUCCUGUGUUCCAGGCUCUCUCUAUUCUGUUGACAGCAGGUAAAAAUUUUACAGGUACAUUUUAAAAACUUUUCAGUUGCGUUUAAGUGCUCUUAUGGUAAUUUAGGAAUCUCUGCCAAUGAAUUGACUGUUUAUAAAUAUUAUGUCUCUAUUAGAUGAAAAAUGACAGAAAAUUGAAGAAGUGACUCUUUUCCAUUUAAUUUUCUUUAAGGGCAACUUGAAGAAUUUGUUGCUUCUAGGAAAAUGAGGGUCUUGAAUAUAAUGUUUCUGUGUUUAUGCCUGGUUUAUGGUUAAAUUAUAUAUACAUAUAUAUGUAUCUGUAAUAAUGUAGUCUAUUCUUACUAUCAGAUAAUGUUAUUAAAGUCGGUCAUAUUUUUAGAAGCUCUAUUCUGAUUGACUUACAACUAAAUAAGUUUUAUCUUGCAUAAUUGGCUUGGUGAUGUAGUUCACUUAGCUGCAUGUACUUUCUGAACAAUGCACAGAGAAA
rnacentral:sRNA from 1 species